rnacentral:lncRNA from 1 species
GACUUAUUUCUGAAUCUAGACCUUUGGUCGAAUGUUGCUUAAAUAUUUCUUUUCAAAUGUAAAAUUGGUACCAGGUCCUAGAGGCUGGCUGAUUCCACAGAUGGAGACCAACUGGGGAUGUAUUCCCAAGAGAGGGAAUUCUGUCUUGAGAGUUCUACCUUUUCAAUGCAAAUCUUUUUAUGUAAAUGAAGCUGAAUAUAAUGAGAGUUUUGAUGUGUGAGGAAUAAUAUUUAAUGCAAGAGUCAAGAUCAGGACAGGGAUGCUUUGGAAUUCAUUUUAAAGCAUUCUACAUGUAGAAUAAAUGGUUUUCUAUACAUUAAGUUAAUAAGAGCAAUUGAAAGAUCCCAAAGAUUUAAAAGGUGAGUUUUAUUAGAAUUAUUUUAGUGGUAAAAAGAUUUUCAUGUGAAAUGAUUAGAAUCAGGGAAUACACUUAGAAACCUAUUGCAAUGUUUCCAAGAUUCUUGAAAUUGAUGUUAUCUUGAAAUUUUAAUUAAUGUGUUUUUUUUGUGUGCAUCCUUGUGUUUUGUCUUCCUCGAUUCAUUCUGAGGUCUUGAAGAAAAUAAGGACAAUUAAGGAAAAAAUGCAAAGAACCAACUGACGCUGUUUUUGAGAUACAAAACAAAUUUCAAAACUUGUUAGAGGGCCAUAGUCCUGCGAGCUAUGGUUUUCAAGAUAAGGAUUGAUAAUGUUAGUGGAAAUCAGUGAUUUGUAUAAAGAGCAUGGGUUCUUUUUAGAAUGGCAGAUUUAGAAGUGCAUACUUAACAGGGAUGUUUUUCCUUUACUCAGGAAGCACAGAGGACAACAAAACAGAGCAGCUCCUUUGUUAUGGGGAGGAGAAAAUGAGACAGAGAACAGCAAAGCCCAAUGACGUUUAGAUUCUUGAGGCUUCUUUCUCUUACCUGGUGUCCAAAGCUAGAGGAAUGGAAGAAAUGUCCCAUCUAGUCAUCUCAGAAAUACAUAGAUAUACAACUUCUAUAUUCAGGGAAGGAAAAUAAAAAUUCCAGAAAGCAAAGAGACAGCCAGUGAAGUGGAG